rnacentral:rRNA from 1 species
UACUACUUGGAUACCCGUGGUAAUUCUAGAGCUAAUACAUGCUAAAAACCCCAACUUCGGGAGGGGUGUGUUUAUUAGAUAAAAAACCAACGCCCUUCGGGGCUCCUUGGUGAUUCAUGAUAACCUCUCAGAUCGCACGGCCUUGCGCCGGCGACGGUUCAUUCAAAUUUCUGCCCUAUCAACUUUCGAUGGUAAGGUAUUGGCUUACCAUGGUUUCAACGGGUAACGGGGAAUUAGGGUUCGAUUCCGGAGAGUGAGCCUGAGAAACGGCUCACACAUCCAAGGAAGGCAGCAGGCGCGCAAAUUACCCAAUCCCGAUACGGGGAGGUAGUGACAAUAAAUACUGAUACAGGGCUCUUUUGGGUCUUGUAAUUGGAAUGAGUACAAUUUAAACCUCUUAACGAGGAACAAUUGGAGGGCAAGUCUGGUGCCAGCAGCCGCGGUAAUUCCAGCUCCAAUAGCGUAUAUUAAAGUUGUUGCAGUUAAAAAGCUCGUAGUUGAAUCUUUGGCCUGGCUGGCGGGUCCGCCUCACCGCGUGCACUUGUCCGGCCGGGCCUUCUCUUCUGGAGAACCGCAUGCCCUUCACUGGGCGUGUUGGGGACCAGGACUUUUACUUUGAAAAAAUUAGAGUGUUCAAAGCAGGCCUUUGCUCGAAUACGUUAGCAUGGAAUAAUAGAAUAGGACGUGCGGUCCUAUUUUGUUGGUUUCUAGGACCGCCGUAAUGAUUAAUAGGGACAGUCGGGGGCAUCAGUAUUCAAUUGUCAGAGGUGAAAUUCUUGGAUUUAUUGAAGACUAACUACUGCGAAAGCAUUUGCCAAGGAUGUUUUCAUUAAUCAGUGAACGAAAGUUAGGGGAUCGAAGACGAUCAGAUACCGUCGUAGUCUUAACCAUAAACUAUGCCGACUAGGGAUCGGGCGGUGUUAUCGAUUUGACCCGCUCGGCACCUUGCGAGAAAUCAAAGUGUU